rnacentral:tRNA from 1 species
UGGGUUAAGUAGCCUAAAAUUAAGGUGCAACAUUGAAGCUGUUGAGAUAGUCAAAUGGCUCUAACCCAA